rnacentral:rRNA from 1 species
UACGGGGGGAACAAGCGUUGUUCGGAUUUACUGGGCGUAAAGGGCGCGUAGGCGGCCACCGCAAGUCAGUUGUGAAAUCUCUGGGCUUAACCCAGAAAGGUCAACUGAUACUGCGGGGCUAGAGUGCAGAAGGGGCAACUGGAAUUCUCGGUGUAGCGGUGAAAUGCGUAGAUAUCGAGAGGAACACCUGCGGCGAAGGCGGGUUGCUGGGCUGACACUGACGCUGAUGCGCGAAAGCUAGGGGAGCGAACGGG